CAGUCUCUCCCUGGCUUCUGUGCCUUGGGCCUGUCGCUGCGUUUGUUGUUCUGGGCGGCCGAGGUUGUGCUUGGAAUCUGCCAUCCACAAUGCUGAGGCCUGACCUUGGUGGAAGUUGAGAGUGCUGCUUAACUUUUCUUCUGAGACAUAGUCCAACCAUAAUCCACCCUGCAAGCCCGGAGCAGCAGUCGAGAGUGUCCAAAUGAUUUCCCCCAAAUCUGGGCUCCAGGACAGUCCUGCACACAGAUGAAUGCCCCUGUGAGCAAAUCGCCUCCCAGCCUGCCCAGAGUCACCUAGGCUGCUGGCAAAUGGCGUUUCAGAGCAAGGCAGAGGACCUUUGGAGGAAUGAAUGCAAACAGCUGUCUGGACAAGCUGUGCCCUGACCAGCAGAGCCAAGAGUCAGAAGCACAGAAUGGGGAGAUUGCGUCGGUAAAGUGACGGGUGCAGGGCAGAUGUGCACUCUCUGAGGCUAAUUUUAAACGAGAUGAAAAUACACGGCUGGAAGGGACCAAGAGCAACAACAUCUGCAGGAGCUUGCUACCUUCUGUCUGUGUAGAAUGUUUUGGAACGAUCUCUGGAGGCCUCACUCCCGGUAUCUGCUUUGAGUCUGUGACUCAGCAAAAUUGAGUAAGACACAGCCUCUGUUCCAAAGAAGCCCACCGUCUGGCAGGGGAGGAGAGACCUGAGUUGUGAAAGGGCUUCUGCAUCCUACAAAUGCCACCACCAGUUAUGUAUUUCUUUGCGUGUUGCUCUGGUGGCUCUCUGUCACUCAAAAUGUCCCUCUUGCUGGGGUUAAUGACUGUGAGCAAGGACUUGCUAGCUGGCACCUACCCUUCUGGGGUGAAGAGCACAGAGGCUUUCAAGCCCCGCGCAAUUGCCUGCGACCUUUGACUCUCCACGGCCUCUGCAUCCCGACCUUCUCUGCUCUUUUGGUUAAUGACAAUUAUAAAUGUUCAAGAGGCACACCACUGAGGCAAGAGGCCUCAGCUAAUUGGGCAACGUGAUUAAAUGGAGGUAGACAUUGUUUUCCUCCGGUACACAGCAAUGUAUAUUUCAAGAGUAUAAAUAAUGACUUUGAGAAAAAAAUUAAGUCUAAAAUGGAAUGGAGGUUUAAAACAAAAAUAAAUUUAAUUUUAGGUUUUGGGGAGAAAACGUUUCUGGUUGCAAUUCUGGAUUUUUAUUGAUGGAUGGAUUGGCUUCAGGUGGGGGAUGUCAAAGGCUCAGGUGUGUGGCGGGGGAGGGCGGACUGCAGCUGCGGUGCAGGGAGGCCAGAUGGCUUGCAAGGAAGGAGCGAAAACUCAGGGAAUUCUAAUGAUGAGAAGCCCUCAAAGAGCUUUCAGAGAGCAGGCAGACAUGCUGGGAGUCCUGGGAGCCGUCGCAAUUAGCAUCUAGAAAUGAUUGUCUAAAAUACAGGUCUACAGUGCGACACAGCCUCAGCGUCCGGAGCAUGUGCUCAGAACAAACACACAA